UAAUACAUAAGUAACCUGCCCUAGACAGGGGGAGUAACUAUUGGAAACGAUAGCUAAGACCGCAUAGGUACGGACACUGCAUGGUGACCGUAUUAAAAGUGCCUCAAAGCACUGGUAGAGGAUGGACUUAUGGCGCAUUAGCUGGUUGGCGGGGUAACGGCCCACCAAGGCGACGAUGCGUAGCCGACCUGAGAGGGUGACCGGCCACACUGGGACUGAGACACGGCCCAG
rnacentral:rRNA from 1 species